rnacentral:rRNA from 1 species
UACUAAUCUGACGUUCGGAUUAUUGGGCGUAAGAGCUCGUAGGCGGUUUGUCGCGUCUGCUGUGAAAGACCGGGGCUCAACUCCGGUUCUGCAGUGGGUACGGGCAGACUAGAGUGCAGUAGGGGAGACUGGAAUUCCUGGUGUAGCGGUGAAAUGCGCAGAUAUCAGGAGGAACACCGAUGGCGAAGGCAGGUCUCUGGGCUGUAACUGACGCUGAGGAGCGAAAGCAUGGGGAGCGAACAGGAUUAGAUACCCUGGUAGUCCAUGCCGUAAACGUUGGGCACUAGGUGUGGGGGACAUUCCACGUUUUCCGCGCCGUAGCUAACGCAUUAAGUGCCCCGCCUGGGGAGUACGGCCGCAAGGCUAAAACUCAAAGGAAUUGACGGGGGCCCGCACAAGCGGCGGAGCAUGCGGAUUAAUUCGAUGCAACGCGAAGAACCUUACCAAGGCUUGACAUGAACCGGUAAUACCUGGAAACAGGUGCCCCGCUUGCGGUCGGUUUACAGGUGGUGCAUGGUUGUCGUCAGCUCGUGUCGUGAGAUGUUGGGUUAAGUCCCGCAACGAGCGCAACCCUCGUUCUAUGUUGCCAGCGGUUCGGCCGGGGACUCAUAGGAGACUGCCGGGGUCAACUCGGAGGAAGGUGGGGACGACGUCAAAUCAUCAUGCCCCUUAUGUCUUGGGCUUCACGCAUGCUACAAUGGCCGGUACAAAGGGUUGCGAUACUGUGAGGUGGAGCUAAUCCCAAAAAGCCGGUCUCAGUUCGGAUUGGGGUCUGCAACUCGACCCCAUGAAGUCGGAGUCGCUAGUAAUCGCAGAUCAGCAACGCUGCGGUGAAUACGUUCCCGGGGCCUUGUACACACCGCCCGUCAAGUCACGAAAGUUGGUAACACCCGAAGCCGGUGGGCCUAACCCUUGUGGGGGGAGCCGUCGAAGUGGGACCGGCGAUUGGGACUAAGUCGUACCAAGGUAAAACUCCA